GACGAACGCUGGCGGCGUGCUUAACACAUGCAAGUCGAACGGUAAAGCCCUUCGGGGUACACGAGUGGCGAACGGGUGAGUAACACGUGGGUGAUCUGCCCUGCACUUCGGGAUAAGCCUGGGAAACUGGGUCUAACACCGGAUAGGACUCCGGACUGCAUGGUCUGGGGUGGAAAGCUUCUGCGGUGUGGGAUGGGCCCGCGGCCUAUCAGCUUGUUGGUGGGGUGAUGGCCUACCAAGGCGACGACGGGUAGCCGGCCUGAGAGGGUGACCGGCCACACUGGGACUGAGAUACGGCCAAGACUCCUACGGGAGGCAGGAGUGGGGAAUAUUGCACAAUGGGCGCAAGCCUGAUGCAGCGACGCCGCGUGAGGGAUGACGGCCUUCGGGUUGUAAACCUCUUUCAGCAUCGACGAAGCGAAAGUGACGGUAGGUGCAGAAGAAGGACCGGCCAACUACGUGCCAGCCGCCGCCGUAA
rnacentral:rRNA from 1 species